rnacentral:rRNA from 1 species
UACCAGCACCCCGAGUGGUCGGGACGUUUAUUGGGCCUAAAGCAUCCGUAGCCGGUUCUACAAGUCUUCCGUUAAAUCCACCUGCUUAACAGAUGGGCUGCGGAAGAUACUAUAGGGCUAGGAGGCGGGAGAGGCAAGCGGUACUCGAUGGGUAGGGGUAAAAUCCGCUGAUCCAUAGAAGACCACCAGUGGCGAAGGCGGCUUGCCAGAACGCGCUCGACGGUGAGGGAUGAAAGCUGGGGGAGCAAACCGG